GGUUCGGUUCUGGUCCGGGUCAGAUCAUGGGCCAUCAUUUUGUUUUGAUGGGUCAAAAAUUUAUGUUGGGUUGGGGCUAGACUAUAAAACAUUGGGUAAUUGAGCUUAAAAUUUACAAAUUCUGGUCCAAAUGUGUUAUCGGAUGAAAAUUGGCUCGAUAAGGUUCAUGAUUGAGCCGAAAAUGUGAUUUCUCAACCGUCUUCAGUUCUGGUCCGCACCAAAUAAAUUGUGGCUCGAUUAGAGACUUCUUCAUGGUGGAUUGGUCGAUGAAUAUGUGACCAUUGACUUCUGCUCCUGAUUGUGGGUUUAGGGUUCUUCUUCCAUUAGACGAUUUUAAAUGCUCAUUCGAUGGACUAAAGCUUGUGCUCUUCCUCGGAACUGAGUUUUUGUUAAAGCUUUGUAUGCUCUCUUUACUUCUGUUCAAAAUUACUCUGUUUUUAUAGUUUUGAUUUUCCAUACUUAACAAAUAUUUUUUGUUUCUUUGUUGAUCAACAAUUUUACAUGUUUUUUUUUAAAUAUUAAUAUUUCUUUUUGCGAAUAAUGAUUUUAUUUAAUGUAUGUUUAAUUAAUUGUGAAUAUAUGGCAAAUUGAGU
rnacentral:lncRNA from 1 species